UUCCCAGACUCCUACGGGAGGCAGCAGUGGGGAAUAUUGCACAAUGGGGGAAACCCUGAUGCAGCAACGCCGCGUGAAGGAAGACGGUUUUCGGAUUGUAAACUUCUGUUCUUAGUGAAGAAUAAUGACGGUAGCUAAGGAGCAAGCCACGGCUAACUGCGUGCCAGCAGCCGCGGUAAUACGUAGGGGGCAAGCGUUAUCCGGAUUUACUGGGUGUAAAGGGAGCGUAGACGGCUGUGCAAGCCAGAUGUGAAAGCCCGGGGCUCAACCCCGGGACUGCAUUUGGAACUGCGUGGCUUGAGUGUCGGAGAGGCAGGCGGAAUUCCUAGUGUAGCGGUGAAAUGCGUAGAUAUUAGGAGGAACACCAGUGGCGAAGGCGGCCUGCUGGACGAUGACUGACGUUGAGGCUCGAAAGCGUGGGGAGCAAACAGGAUUAGAUCCCCGAGUA
rnacentral:rRNA from 1 species